GUCUCGCGUGAGGGGGUGCAGUGGAGCUCUUUUUUUAUUUGGUCUCGUUUUUUUUAAACAGAGACCAAAUAAAAAAAAGCGGGAACGCAAAACCCGACCCCGA
rnacentral:sRNA from 1 species